AACGGAAGUCUACGGGAGCACGAU
rnacentral:siRNA from 1 species